GACGAACGCUGGCGGCGUGCCUAAUACAUGCAAGUCGAGCGAACUUGCGGGAGCUUGCUCCCAAAAGUUAGCGGCGGACGGGUGAGUAACACGUGGGCAACCUGCCUAUAAGACUGGGAUAACUUCGGGAAACCGGAGCUAAUACCGGAUAAUUCUUUUCUACUCAUGUAGGAAAGCUGAAAGCUGGUUUCGGCUAUCACUUAUAGAUGGGCCCGCGGCGCAUUGGCUAGUUGGUGAGGUAACGGCUCACCAAGGCGACGAUGCGUAGCCGACCGGAGAGGGUGAUCGGCCACACUGGGACUGAGACACGGCCCAGACUCCUACGGGAGGCAGCAGUAGGGAAUCUUCCGCAAUGGACGAAAGUCCGACGGAGCAACGCCGCGUGAGUGAUGAAGGCUUUCGGGUCGUAAAACUCUGUUGUUAGGGAAGAACAAGUGCUAGUUGAACAAGCUGGCACCUUGACGGUACCUAACCAGAAAGCCACGGCUAACUACGUGCCAGCCGCCGCAGUAAUAC
rnacentral:rRNA from 1 species